rfam:Gracilibacillus halophilus YIM-C55.5 contig_10, whole genome shotgun sequence.
CCGUUGCUACAACCGCUCAGAACAGGUUAUUAAGACUUUUGAUAGAGCACCUGUAUGGCGAGUCUGAGUUUAAGA